CAAAGGUUUGGUCCUGGCCUUGAGGUCAGUUAUUACUUACUAUACACAUGCAAGUAUCCGCCCCCCUGUGAAAACGCCCUUCAACCCCCCUUAGGGACAAGGAGCUGGUAUCAGGCACGAAAAUCUGCCCAAGACACCUAGCUAUGCCACACCCACAAGGGAAUUCAGCAGUGAUUAACAUUGAGCAUUAGCGCAAGCUUGACUCAGUUAAAGUAAUACAGAGCCGGCUAAUCUGGUGCCAGCCGCCGCGGUUACACCACGUGGCUCAAAUUGACCCCCUCCGGCGUAAAGCGUGAUUAAAGCCACCCCUGACUAGAGUUAAACUAAAACUGAGCUGUGACACGCCUGUUUAUUAAGAAACCCAAAAACGAAAGUUACUCUACCACAACCAACUUGAACUCACGACAGCUGGG
rnacentral:rRNA from 1 species